AUUGAACGCUGGCGGCAGGCCUAACACAUGCAAGUCGAACGAUUGGCGGACGGGUGAGUAAUGUCUGGGAACCUGCCCGAUGGAGGGGGAUACCUACUGGAAACGGUAGCUAAUACCGCAUACCAUCGCAUUUGCCCAGAUGUGAUUAGCUUGUAGGUGGGGUAACGGCGAACCUAGGCGACGACCCCUAGCUGGUCUGGGAGGAUGACCAGCAACACUGGAACUGAGACACGGUCAAGACUCCUACGGGAGGCAGCAGUGGGGAAUAUUGCACAAUGGGCGCAAGCCUGAUGCAGCCAUGCCGAGUGGAUGAAGAAGGCCUUGGGGUGGUAAAGUACGUUCAGCGAGGAGGCGUUAAUCGCAGAAGAAGCAACGGCUAACUCCGUGCCAGCAGCCGCGGUAAUUC
rnacentral:rRNA from 1 species